GGAGAUGUAGCUUAGUGGUAGAGCCCUUGCCUAGUAUGCUUAAGGCCCUGGGUUCAAUCCCCAGUACCAUUA
rnacentral:tRNA from 1 species